ncrna:Cyprinus carpio (common carp) microRNA ccr-mir-15a precursor (ccr-mir-15a-1)
GGUGUAGCAGCACAGAAUGGUUUGUGGUGAUACAGAGAUGCAGGCCGUGAUGUGCUGCAGCAUC